rnacentral:rRNA from 1 species
AUUGAACGCUGGCGGCAGGCCUAACACAUGCCAGUCGAGCGGAUGAAGGGAGCUUGCUCCUGGAUUCAGCGGCGGACGGGUGAGUAAUGCCUAGGAAUCUGCCUGGUAGUGGGGGAUAACGUCCGGAAACGGGCGCUAAUACCGCAUACGUCCUGAGGGAGAAAGUGGGGGAUCUUCGGACCUCACGCUAUCAGAUGAGCCUAGGUCGGAUUAGCUAGUUGGUGGGGUAAAGGCCUACCAAGGCGACGAUCCGUAACUGGUCUGAGAGGAUGAUCAGUCAACAUGGGAAUGAGAACCCGGUCCAGCCUCCAACGGGAGGCGGAGGGGGGGAUUUUUGGAAAAGGGGCAAAGCCCUAACCCAGCCAUGCCGGGGGGGUAAAGAGGGUUUUCGAAUUUUAAACCAUUUUAAGUGGGGAGGAAGGACAGAAAUUAAAUACCUUCUUGUUUUAAGUUUCCCAAAAAAAAAGACCCCGCCAACCCCCGCC